rnacentral:lncRNA from 1 species
CUCUCAAGCCUUACUAUCUUAUCAGUGGUGCAUGAAAAUAAGCAUAUGCACAUAUCAUAUAACCAAAGUGUAGCUCAUGAAUUAACAACAUAGUGAUCAGCAAAAAAAACAUGUUUCCACUUAAUCACAACCUUUAUUCAAAUAUUUGCAUAGUUUAUAUAUCAUCUUAAAAAUUUUAAGAUGCAAGCAUAAUCGAAUCGAGUCUCAAACGCACAAAAUAUGCACAACCAACAGCAGAAAAGAAAAAAGUGUAAGUGUUACCGAAACAGCGAUGCGGUCGGGACCGAUUCAGUUUUCUCGGUCUUGUUCGCAGUGUUCAAACCAAGUCAUCAUUAACCUUCAAAGGUUCAUCACUAUGAAAACAUAACAUGGUUAAGGUAUGUUGUUGAGUUUGUGCCGGAAUCAGACGGAGCAACAAUUAUUGUGAUGUUGCUAAAGCAAAUCCGGUUAUUUGCGGUUGCUGAACUUUAUGGUAAGUGUCGUUGAUGUUUGAGCUGGGUGUUACACCAAAGACGAGGUUAUCACGGUGGCGAGAGAAUGUGGAGGAGCCACCACACGGUUGCAUAGAAACGUGCGGUUUAUGGAGCGCUGUGAGUGGAUAAAAAAUAGAGUAGAGAAGAGGUUUGAGGUAGUGUCCUGGUUGUUGUGUACUGUGAAGAAUGAAUCGAAGAAGGAAGAAAAAAAUGGUUGUUAAUGGUGUAGGAUGGUGAUGAAGGACGCGGAGGUCUCCGAAAAUGGGAAGGAGAGAGUGAUGGUACCCCUGUAACUUCUUUUCUCCUUUUUUAUUUCGUGAGUUGAGAGGUUAAAAGAAUAAUGAAAAAAAUCAUCUCC